UGUGUGUCAUGAAGAGAGCUCUCAGGGAAGGAGCUGCCUCUCUGCUGCUGUCCACAGAGCAGCCAGUGCAAUGAAACAGAAAAUAAGCAGAGUUAAAGCUGGAAGGACAGAUCCCCCAGAGCCACACCCUGUGUUCUCUUGGAGAAGGAAACUUUUAAGGUCAGUGCAGAAAAACUCACUCACCCCAAAUGGCCAAGGUCUAUAUCCUUGUAAUGCUAACAUAGGUACAAUUUAAUUUUGACAUGUUUAUAGAUUUAAAUGGUCACCAUGAAUUAUGAAAAGAAAGCUUUUUGCUCCACCUAAAGUAGCACCUUCACUUCUUCUGCAGAAAUAAAAGGAAAACGACUCUGACA
rnacentral:lncRNA from 1 species